GAUAAAGACGUGCACGGAAGUUACGUUGAUAAUUUUCGGUUUUUUGUGCCACCAUAAGCGCUAGUAUUUCUCGUUAUUGCUGAAUACUUGCGUACACGUAAAUACAUACAUAAAUAUAUAUUGAAUUGUGUAAACUUUCCUGAAUAGUGCGUACAUUUUCUCCGUCGCAACCGCAGUUUUGCUAAAUGCUUCCGUUCGUUUUGUGAUUCCAUUGUUAUUAUUGUUGUGGAAAAUCUAUUGAUUCUGAAAAUGCCUUAAAGUUGCGCCGCUCGGUUAGUUGUGAUUGAAAAGUGCAGUGCUUGGAAAAUUUUGUGUUUAUGAAAUACAUAUUUACAUGUGAGAGAUAAGUGUGUGAGAAUGUGAGUAGAAAUUCCUGUCAAUUCUUUGGUAUGAAUUAACACAAAAAUUUGUACAUACAUAUUUGCAUAUGUACAUAUGUAUGUGUGUUUAACAAGAAGUCUUUAUUUUAAUAAUUUGUGCGAAAUAGUUCUUUCAAUUUGCGGCUUGGGGAAUGCUUUCACAGACCUAUGAACGAUAACGGAGACACGUCUCUUUGGGCUCUUACAGUCGCUUUAUAUUUCAUGUGAACGCCCCCAAUAACUUUGUUGCAAUAUAAAGUGCGCGGCAAGAACUUUGCAUAUACGAAUUAUAAUGAAUUAUCAACCAGUACCCUACUAUUUUAUCUUAAACUAAAGUCACAAAACGAAUAUCCACAUUAAACACGAGUCCACAAAAA